GAUGAACGCUGGCGGCGUGCCUAAUACAUGCAAGUCGAGCGAACAGACGAGGAGCUUGCUCCUCUGACGUUAGCGGCGGACGGGUGAGUAAUACGUGGAUAACCUACCUAUAAGACUGGGAUAACUUCGGCAAACCGGAGCUAAUACCGGAUAAUAUAUUGAACCGCAUGGUUCAAUAGUGAAAGACGGUUUUGCUGUCACUUAUAGAUGGAUCCGCGCCGCAUUAGCUAGUUGGUAAGGUAACGGCUUACCAAGGCGACGAUGCGUAGCCGACCUGAGAGGGUGAUCGGCCACACUGGAACUGAGACACGGUCCAGACUCCUACGGGAGGCAGCAGUAGGGAAUCUUCCGCAAUGGGCGAAAGCCUGACGGAGCAACGCCGCGUGAGUGAUGAAGGUCUUCGGAUCGUAAAACUCUGUUAUUAGGGAAGAACAAAUGUGUAAGUAACUAUGCACGUCUUGACGGUACCUAAUCAGAAAGCCACGGCUAACUACGUG
rnacentral:rRNA from 1 species